rnacentral:lncRNA from 1 species
CAAUUUGAAACUUUCUCCAAAGUGAAAUUACCUUAUUUAGUGACAGGUAUGCAUAAAUUAGUAAAAUAGAAGUCACAGUAACACUAAUGGAGGCAUAGGCAAAAUAGAAGAAAGCUCUUAUAAGGUUUUGAAAGUGGCUCAAGGGCUAUUUGUUUACAGUGCACCAGUCUAAUGAGAUCUUCUGAACUUGGAGCUGGCUCUAAUAUGAGCUUACAGGCCAUAUGUCUGUCUUCUCAUUGUUGACUUCCUUUUAUAGACAAACAAGACUCAAGAAACUGUACAAACAGAUGAUAGAAGAAAUGCCAAAAGUCAAAUUUUAUAAGGUGUUCAAUAGCUCACUGUGAUUGUUGAGAAGUCAACACAGGGACAAGGAAAUCUCAGAUGGUUGUCUACAGUUACAAGGGGGAUUGUUGGACUGAUUUGUGAUUUUUCUGGGAAUGCAACUCAAGUUAGAAGAGGCCAUUAUCUGAAAGAAGAAGAAGCACCAGCUGAUGUGUUGGUUAUUUUAGGGCGACAUUUGCAGUUGCUUGGGCAAUAUCAUGAGCCUCACCUCAUGCAGGUAAGAUCUGGAUGGGCACUAGAUGACAGUGCACAGCUUGUAUUUCUUUCAAAGGAGCGUUCACUUUCAACUACACAAGGCAUGAUUUCUAGACUAUUUUCUGAAAGGCUGGAAAGUGAAUGUGAAGUUCUGAAGACUUGGUCCCUGGCUCUGCUCAACCAAAAUUUUUU